UACGUAGGGCGCAAGCGUUGUCCCGGAAUUAUUGGGCGUAAAGAGCUCGUAGGCGGUUUGUCGCGUCUGUCGUGAAAAGCCCACGGCUUAACCGUGGGUCUGCGGUGGAUACGGGCAGACUAGAGGCAGGUAGGGGAGAAUGGAAUUCCCGGUGUAGCGGUGAAAUGCGUAGAGAUGUGGAGGAACACCAAUGGCGAAGGCAGCCUUCUGGGCCAACACUGACGCUCAUGCACGAAAGCGUGGGGAGCAAACAGG
rnacentral:rRNA from 1 species